GACGAACGCUGGCGGCGUGCUUAACACAUGCAAGUCGAACGGAAAGGCCCCUUUGGGGGUACUCGAGUGGCGAACGGGUGAGUAACACGUGAGUAACCUGCCCUUGACUUCGGGAUAACUUCAGGAAACUGGGGCUAAUACCGGAUAGGAAUCCUUGCUGCAUGGUGGUGGUUGGAAAGCUUCGGCGGUUUUGGAUGGACUCGCGGCUUAUCAGCUUGUUGGUGGGGUAGUGGCUUACCAAGGCUUUGACGGGUAGCCGGCCUGAGAGGGCGACCGGCCACAUUGGGACUGAGAUACGGCCCAGACUCCUACGGGAGGCAGCAGUGGGGAAUAUUGCACAAUGGGCGGAAGCCUGAUGCAGCAACGCCGCGUGCGGGAUGACGGCCUUCGGGUUGUAAACCGCUUUCAGCAGGGGCGAAGCUUGUGGUGACGGUACCUGCAGAAGAAGCACCGGCUAACUACGUG
rnacentral:rRNA from 1 species